rnacentral:rRNA from 1 species
ACGGUGCCCGACCCGGCCAUAGUGGCCGGGCAACACCCGGUCUCGUUUCGAACCCGGAAGUUAAGCCGGCCACGUCAGAACGGCCGUGAGGUCCGAGAGGCCUCGCAGCCGUUCUGAGCUGGGAUCGGGCACC